rnacentral:lncRNA from 1 species
UUUAUGUGGCUUAUUAAAGCCCUAUUAUUUGUCUGAUAAUUCAAAUGCUUGAACCAUAUAAAAAUUAGAAAAAGAAAUUAAAAUGGAAAUUUGGGUGUCGGAAAAGUCAGUCUUUGUGGGUUAGUUUGAAAAGGGAAAAUUUUGGUGGCAAGAGUUUUUACAGUAGAAAGAAUGGAUGAAGAAGUGUAGAAGCAAAAAGGGAAGAAAAUGAGGGAAAAUAAAAAGAAAUUUAGGUACAAUAAGACACCACGCCGUGGCACGCCAGCAAAAAGUUAAAAGGUAUUAGUGUUAGGUAUCAAUAUAGUGGACUGAAAAAAAG